GACGAACGCUGGCGGCGUGCUUAACACAUGCAAGUCGAACGCUGAAGACCUGGCUUUUGUUGGGUUGGAUGAGUGGCGAACGGGUGAGUAACACGUGAGUAACCUGCCCUCUUCUUUGGGAUAACGCCCGGAAACGGGUGCUAAUACUGGAUAUUCACUGAUCUUCGCAUGGGGGUUGGUGGAAAGGUUUGUUCUGGUGGGGGAUGGGCUCGCGGCCUAUCAGCUUGUUGGUGGGGUGAUGGCCUACCAAGGCUUUGACGGGUAGCCGGCCUGAGAGGGUGACCGGUCACAUUGGGACUGAGAUACGGCCCAGACUCCUACGGGAGGCAGCAGUGGGGAAUAUUGCACAAUGGGCGAAAGCCUGAUGCAGCGACGCCGCGUGAGGGAGGGAGGCCUUCGGGUUGUAAACCUCUUUCGCUCAUGGUCAAGCCGCAACUGUGGGUUGUGGUGAGGGUAGUGGGUAAAGAAGCGCCGGCUAACUACGUG
rnacentral:rRNA from 1 species